CCUACGGGUGGCAGCAGUGGGGAAUAUUGGGCAAUGGAGGCAACUCUGACCCAGCAACGCCGCGUGAAUGAUGAAGGUUUUCGGAUUGUAAAGUUCUUUUCUAAGGGAAGAAGAAAGUGACGGUACCUUAGGAAUAAGCCUCGGCUAACUACGUGCCAGCAGCCGUGGUAAUACGUAGGAGGCAAGCGUUAUCCGGAAUGACUGGGCGUAAAGGGUGCGUAGGGGGUUUGACAAGUUAGUAGCGUAACUCCGGGGCUCAACUAUAGAACUACUACCAAAACUGUUGGACUCGAGUGCAGGAGAGGCAACUGGAAUUUUUGGUGUAGCGGUAGAAUGCAUAGAGAUCACGCAGAACACCGAUUGCGAAGGCAACAUGCCAGCACUCAACUGACGCUGAGGCGCGAAAGCGUGGGGAUCGAACAGGAUUAGAUACCCGUGUAGUC
rnacentral:rRNA from 1 species